rnacentral:rRNA from 1 species
AUGGAGCGCAGUGAUUCCCUGUCCGAGUCGCCAAGGAAGCGGAAUGGCCUUCUGCGUGACCAGGUCCAGCUGGUGAAAAGGAAGGACACAAGCCGCUAUGAGAUCGUCCCCUUUCCAGAGCCACUGUCUUUUGAGAAAGGCUUCUUUGUCAUGAUCCGCGCCAUCCAGCUCCUGGUGCAGAACAAUGAAGGGAUAAUAUUUGUGGGAGUUGCUGGCCCCUCUGGGGCUGGUAAGACGGUGUUUACUGAGAAGGUCCUCAAUUUCAUGCCCAGUGUUGCUGUCAUAUCAAUGGACAACUACAAUGAUGCAAGUCGCAUAGUUGAUGGCAAUUUUGAUGAUCCACGUCUAACAGAUUAUGACACACUGUUGGAAAAUAUUCAUGGCUUGAAGGAAGGAAGGUCCGUUCAGGUUCCAAUAUAUGAUUUCAAGAUGAGUUGCCGGACUGGAUACAGAACAGUUGAUGUCCCUAGCUCCAGGAUUGUUAUUAUUGAAGGUAUAUAUGCACUGAGUGAUAAGUUACGGCCAAUACUGGAUCUGCGUGUUUCUGUCACUGGUGGUGUUCAUUUUGACCUGGUGAAGAGGGUCCUAAGGGACAUACAACGAGCUGGCCAGGAGCCUGAGGAAAUAAUUCACCAGAUCUCAGAAACGGUUUAUCCAAUGUACAAGGCUUUCAUUGAGCCGGAUUUGAAGACAGCGCACAUAAGAAUUAUCAACAAGUUCAACCCUUUCUCAGGGUUCCAGAAUCCUAUGUAUAUUCUGAAGUCACCACGGUCUCUAACACCUGAUCAAAUCAAAGCUGCUCUUGGCGAAGAUCAAACUGAAAGCAAUGAAGAAACUUAUGAUAUCUAUUUACUUCCACCGGGUGAAGAUCCAGAAGCAUGCCAAUCUUAUCUGAGAAUGCGGAAUAGGGAAGGGAAAUAUAAUCUGAUGUUUGAGGAGUGGGUGACUGAUAAUCCUUUUAUCAUAUCACCGAGGAUUACUUUUGAAGUCAGUGUACGUCUUCUUGGUGGUUUGAUGGCGUUGGGAUAUACUAUAGCAGCUAUACUGAAGAGAAGCAGCCGUGUGUUUUCUGAUGGCAAGGCUACUGUUAAAAUUGACUGGCUGGAGCAACUUAACCGAAGGUAUAUACAGGUGCAAGGUAGAGACAGACUUUAUGUCAAAUUUGUAGCAGAGCAGUUAGGUUUGGAUGGUUCUUAUAUCCCACGCACGUAUAUUGAACAAAUUCAACUGGAGAAACUGAUGAAUGAUGUUAUGGCAUUACCAGAUGAUCUGAGGACAAAGCUCAGCAUUGAUGAUGAGCUGGUUUCAAGUCCAAAAGAAGCUUUUUCCCGGGCCUCUGCUGAUAGGAGAAACGAACUUAUGAAAAGUGGGCUAUCUCAUUCGUAUUCAACACACGGAGAUAAAAGUAUUGUGAAAUUGAAUAAACUGACUGAAAGCAACCGAAGGUUUGGCAGUCGGCGAACUCCUGAACCUCCUGUGAUUAAUCAGGGUGCAAUCAACCAGCUGUCAGAACAGAUAUCGACACUGAAUGAGAGGAUGGAUGAGUUUACCUGUCGGGUUGAAGAUCUUAACUCAAAAUUUACACUGAUAAAAUCUUCACCGAGUCAGCAAAAUUUAGUUCCUCCAAGUGAUACUCGUAAUGGUUCUGCACCUACAAAUCUCUUUGUUUCUCAGUUGGGUAAUGGUACCCUUAUACCCCAUUCAUCAUCAUCAAACCAACUUUCAAAAGAGUCUCCAUUGAUGGAAGAGAUUAUGGUCUUAUCAAGGGGUCAGCGCCAAGUAAUACAUCAGCUCGACAACCUCACCAACCUGCUUCACGAUCAUUUGGUCUUGACCCGCCAAGGAAACGCCGUGAGUAGGAACCGGAUCCAGGAAGGAAUUGACAUGGCCAUCUGUCCGUUGAUAAUCCUGACAAUCGGCAGUGUUGGGUACUUCGUGUUCAAGAGUCUCAACAGGGGCUGA